rnacentral:rRNA from 1 species
UGGGGAAUCUUGCGCAAUGGGCGAAAGCCUGACGCAGCAACGCCGCGUGGGGGAUGAAGGCUCUCGGGUUGUAAACCCCUUUCAGGAGGGACGAAAAUGACGGUACCUCCAGAAGAAGCCCCGGCCAACUACGUGCCAGCAGCCGCGGUAACACGUAGGGGGCGAGCGUUGUCCGGAUUUAUUGGGCGUAAAGAGCUCGUAGGCGGUUUGGCAAGUCGGGUGUGAAAUUUCGAGGCUCAACCUCGAAACGCCACUCGAUACUGCCAUGACUGGAGUCCGGUAGAGGAGUGCGGAAUUCCUGGUGUAGCGGUGAAAUGCGCAGAUAUCAGGAGGAACACCAACGGCGAAGGCAGCACUCUGGGCCGGUACUGACGCUGAGGAGCGAAAGCGUGGGGAGCAAACA